UUUAAUCCUUCUCCUUCACAACUACCGUUGGAUUUUCCUUUAUGCUAAUAAUAGAUCUUUCUUCUCCCCACAGGAAAAUUGCACCUACCAAUUCGUUGCAAUUAUCUCGGACUAUGAUCUAGUACAACAGUAAGAUUCUAUAUCAUUUCAUAUCUCUCAGCUGCAUAGUGGACCUAUGUUACCUGUAAAUCACAUUCUUAUGUUGUUAACCAAUGACACUUCUUUUCUAUGCAAAGCCUCAUUU